GUAAAAAGAGGGACACAUGGGAGAGGAACAAGAAGGGUUUGUGCUCUGUUAACUUGGGACUUUCAUAGUGCACGUCUGCGACCCGGACAAAAGAUACAACAGCAGAUACAAAAUGGUCUCCAUUUUGCCCAUGCCGAAUUCUCAUGUUACACAGGUUUUCCCUUUACUUUGUAAAUAAACAUUAAUUUUUAAUUUUUAAUCAUGUGCCUUACUGAUCCAGUAAAUAAAGUAACCAUGUCUCAGGAGUCCCUAAGAAAAUUGCUGGAAAAGCACUUUAAAAUCACUGCAAAUAUUUUUCAUAUUUAAAAAUCCUUAAUCUUUUUGAUGCUUAUAUACAAGUUAUUUCUUGUGCUAUAAAUGUUGUGAAUCCACUGCUUGAUUUCUUUCUUUUCCUUGAUUUUUUUCUUGAAAAACACACUAAAAGACAAGAGUGGUUCUAUUUUCUAAUGAAGACAUUACUCACACUUAGAUAUCCAGUAUUUAUCAGUGACAAAUCCAAACAGUAAAGUGCACCCAUUUAUAGACAUGAUGUGAUGGAAACCCAUCAGUGCAAGAAUUCUGGGCAAACGGAACAUACAAUUUGGUGAGAACCCUAUAAGCUGAAGUUUGUCACGUCUGUCACCAUCUCAGGUGAUGUGAACUCGGUGAGUGGAACUUAUCAGUUUCAUAUGAAAAAUCUCCCCCCACUGGGAGCCAGACAUUGAUUCGGCAAGUGUGUGUUUGUUGCUGGGGAAGGGGUAUCUCUAAAAUACAGUACUAAGAUCAUCCCAUGGCAGUGAAGUAGCAAAACAGGGCAUGGGCAGUCUGCUUACAAGGAACAACUUUGUCUCCUGCCCCAAUAAGCUCUGGUUGGCAUUUUCUAGUCAAAAACAACUGGCGCCAAGUAGUGAUAUUCACUCUCUUACAAAAAGAAUUGCAUUUAGACUGCUGAUAUUCUAGGUGUUUUGCCCAAUAGGGCAGAAACCAUAAAUCUCCUGUUUGUUCUGGAAAACUGAAAGAGACCCUGGGGAGAAGUGGCAUAUUUGUAAAACUACAGGACUUGCUCACCUGCCUGGAGAGGUGAGUGCAGGUGGUAUUUGUGGCAUUCCAAAUAAGCACGGGCACUUCUGACAGACACUGAGAAAUUCUUCAAAAUGUAGCAGCUCCUCAGUGAGACUGGUUAAAAAUGGAUAAGAUGCAGAGACCAACAGGACUGAGACCUGGACAAAAAGGGAGCUGAGAGGCUGCUAAGCUCCUAGCUAUAGGCUGAUGCUAUAGCUACACAUUUUAUCUGAGAGAGAGAGAGAGAGAGAGAGAGAGAGAGAGAGAGAGAGAGGACAUUGAUUCCAGCCCACUCUGGUCUAGUCGAGCAGAAGGCAGUCCUUAAGCAUCAGAAAGAGUGGAAAAAGUCUGGGUCUUGAGUUAGCCCAGCUGUUUGCUUCCAACACAAAAAGACAAUUCCUGGCCUGUUUUAGGCUUGGUGGUGGGAGGGUCCCUCUAUUUGGCAGAAUCUAAAUCAAUAAAAAAAAUGUUUCUGAUCUCAGCGUCAUGCUCCCCCCCCUUUUUCGCAGCUGGCCAGUGCGGGGAUCGAACCCAUAUUUUGGUGUUAUAAGGCUGCACUCUAACCAAAUGAGCUAACUGGCCAGAGCAUAUCUUAAUGAACAUUUCAGAGGACACACUGUUACAAAUGGGUCUGGUCACAGCUGGAUUUUUAUUUCUGUAGCCUUUUACUAACAGGAGUGGAAUGACUCCUAAUAACAGAGAACUGGUGCUCUUUUCUUUACUUGCAGUUGUUUAGUUUGUUGGGUUGAGUUGUUUAGUUUUAAUAGCUCAUGUGCAGCCAGUACCAGGCCUGUGCUAAGGUUUUGGUUUCAGUGUUCUUGUCAUCCAUUUAAUAGUGGCCCCAGUGACUCAAAGGUCCGGUUAGCAAAUCACCACAAGACCUAGAAGAUGUGUGGAAAGUGACUGGAUCAGAAGCCUGUUGUCUAUCUUGCACUUCCACCCACGGCUAGAAAACAUGGCUAAAAAGGAUCUUUAUUCACCGAGACACCGUAUGCUGUGUCUGAUUUUCAAAUAUCAACCCCCUCAAACACUCCUAGGAAAAGGAAACAAACAAUUCUUGUAAUAAUAGAUAAUGAAACCGCAAAUCUCUUAAUGAAAUUAGAUAACUGGUGUGGAAUAUGAUGGCCCUGGGUAGAAACUCUGGUAAUUAAUCUUACAGUCCCAAGAGAAUUCAAUUUGCUUCUCAAAAAACCAAUUUCUUUACUAUACUAUCUGGGUUU